AGCAGUCGCCGCGGUAAUACGGAGGGUGCAAGCGUUAAUCGGAAUUACUGGGCGUAAAGCGCACGUAGGCGGCUACCCAAGUCGGGGGUGAAAGCCCGGGGCUCAACCCCGGAACUGCCCUCGAAACUAGGUAGCUAGAAUCUUGGAGAGGUCAGUGGAAUUCCGAGUGUAGAGGUGAAAUUCGUAGAUAUUCGGAAGAACACCAGUGGCGAAGGCGACUGACUGGACAAGUAUUGACGCUGAGGUGCGAAAGCGUGGGGAGCAAACAGGAUUAGAGACCCGCGUAGUCCCUGUCUCUUAUAC
rnacentral:rRNA from 1 species